rnacentral:rRNA from 1 species
CGUCUCAGUUCAGAUUGCAGGCUGCAACUCGCCUGCAUGAAGUCGGAAUUGCUAGUAAUCGCAGAUCAGCAUGCUGCGGUGAAUACGUUCCCGGGCCUUGUACACACCGCCCGUCACACCAUGGGAGUCGGUAACACCCGAAGUCGGUAGCCUAACCGCGAGGGGGGAGCUGCCGAAGGCAGGACCGGUGACUGGGGUGAAGUCGUAACAAGGUAGC